rnacentral:rRNA from 1 species
CCUACGGGCGGCUGCAGUGGGGAAUAUUGGACAAUGGGCGAAAGCCUGAUCCAGCCAUGCCGCGUGUGUGAAGAAGGCCUUCGGGUUGUAAAGCACUUUCAGUGGGGAAGAAAGCCUUGGGGCUAAUACCCUCGAGGAAGGACAUCACCCACAGAAGAAGCACCGGCUAACUCCGUGCCAGCAGCUGCGGUAAUACGGAGGGUGCGAGCGUUAAUCGGAAUUACUGGGCGUAAAGCGCGCGUAGGCGGUCUGAUAAGCCGGUUGUGAAAGCCCCGGGCUCAACCUGGGAACGGCAUCCGGAACUGUCAGGCUAGAGUGCAGGAGAGGAAGGUAGAAUUCCCGGUGUAGCGGUGAAAUGCGUAGAGAUCGGGAGGAAUACCAGUGGCGAAGGCGGCCUUCUGGACUGACACUGACGCUGAGGUGCGAAAGCGUGGGUAGCAAACAGGAUUAGAUACCCGGGUAGUC